GAUGAACGCUGGCGGCGUGCCUAAUACAUGCAAGUCGAGCGAACAGACGAGGAUCUUGCUCCUCUGACGUUUGCCGCGGACGGGAGUGUCACACGUGUAUAAUCUACCUAUCAGUCUGGUAUAACUUCGAGAAACCGGAGCUAAUACCGUAUAAUAUCUUGAUCCGCAUGGUUCAAUAGUGAAAGUCGGCUUUGCUGUCUCUACUCGCUGCAUAUGCGCCGGAUUAGCUAGUUGGUAAGGUAACGGCCUACCAAGGGUACCAUGCGUAGCCGACGUGUCAGGCGGAUCGGCCACACGGGAACUGAGACACGGUCCAUACUCCUGCGGGAGGCAGCAGUAGGGAAUCGGCCGCAAUGGGCGAAAGCAUGACGGAGCAGCGGCGCGUGUGUGGUAGAGGUCUUCGGAUCGUAAAACUCUGUUAUGAGUGAAGAACCAAUGUGUAAGUAACUAUGGACGUCUUGACGGUACCUAGUCAGAAAGCCACGGCUAACUACGUG
rnacentral:rRNA from 1 species